GAUGCCUGAUGGCAGCAGCCAUUUUAAGAACAAAGGAUACAAAGGCUGCUGUUUGUUGCUGGCAGCCGACGCAGAAACAUCGCCUGGCUGAGCUGCAGCAGGAACAUCAGAAGAUAAGAGCAGGAGGCUCUUGGUCCUGGGCAUGACUUGAAACUGCACCCUGCUGGGGAUGGAUGGCCUGGUGGGGCUCCUGGUGGUGUGGGAGCUCCCAGGAAAUGCCAGGCCAAUUACUACCCCAGUGAAAGGUCUUUCAUCUUAGACACAAAAUAAUAGAUUGAGACUGCAAACACGUGGCAAGAUGCACAUGCUCAAAUAAGCAAGUUCCACAUGAAUGUGUCCUGGAGCAGAAUCAUCAAGCAUCUUUGCCAGUAUCAGAAGUGAAACAUUUUGGGGCAACUGGCAGUCUAUUCAUUUCCUUCAGCAAGCUACAAAGGUGAUUCCUGUCUUUUUACACUGCUGACAUUUCAAAGCGCUUAAUGCAAA